UGGCAUGGUAUUAUUAGGCUAAUUUACAACUACUCGUGGUGUGGGGAAAAAGAAAGAGAGAUCAGACUGUUACUGUGUCUGUGUAGAAAGAAGUAGACAUAAGAGACUCCAUUUCGUUCUGUACUAAGAAAAAUUCUUCUGCCUUGAGAUGCUGUUAAUCUGUAACCCUAGCGCCAACCCUGUGCUCGCAGAGGCAUGUGCUGUGUUGACUCAAGGUUUAAUGGAUUUAGGGCUAUGCAGGAUGUGCUUUGUUAAACAAGUGCUUGAAGGCAGUAUGCUUGUUAAAAGUCAUCACCACUCACUAAUCUCAAGUACCCAGGGACACAGUACACUGAGGAAGGCCGCAGGGACCUCUGCCUAGGAAAGCCAGUCUCUUGUUCCACCUGAUGAGAAACACCCGCAGGUCCACGUGGAGGAGCUGGUCCCCUUUAUCGUGGCAACAGCAAGAAGUUUCAAGGGGUGAACACGUAGCUCAAGGGGAACGCCAGAGAGCUCCCAAGAUGGCGGCAGGCCGCUCCCAAGAUGGCGGCAAGCCUUUUGUUCUCUGACCUGGGGUUCUUGGCCUCACGGAUUCCAAGGAAUGGAACCUUGGGCCAUGCGGUGAGUGUUGUAGCUCUAUUAGAAGCCAUGGGUCAGGGCAGAGAACCAUGGAACCCAGCGAGUAGUAUUCAGCUUGAUUAGAACGAAUCCGGGCACUUAGCUGUGCAGGAACAACAGUGAGCCUCUAGCCCAAUCGGGAGCAGCAGUGGGCGCCUCACUGGAUCAGAAGCGCAGCAAACACCCUGCCAGAUCGACAGGGGUGGAAGUCAACAGUGGGUCUGCAAUGGCGACGAUCAGCAUCGGGAGCGGCAGUGGGCGCCUCACUGGACCAGAAGCGCAGCGAACACCCUGCCAGAUCGACAGGGGUGGAAGUCAAUGGUGGGUCUGCAAUGGGGACGAUCCGCAGUGGCCGACGGUGAGCGAAAGCUCAGCUCAAGCAGGAACAAACACAGACCAGAAGAGUGUGCAGUUGCAAGAUUUAAUAGAGUGAAGACAGAGCUCCCAUAGAAGGGGAGAGGACCCAAAGGGGGUUGCCGCCACCGGCCUGAAUGCCUGGGUUUAUAUCCUGAUCAUUGUCCCUCCCGC
rnacentral:lncRNA from 1 species